AACUUGACGCUACCGGCAGGCUUAACACGUGCAAGUAGAGGGGCAGCACUUCUUCGGAUGGUGGCGACCGGCGCACGGGUGCGUAACGCGUAUAGAACUUACCUUUUACAGAGGGAUAGCCUUUAGAAAUGAAGAUUAAUACCUCAUAGCAUUGAGAUUUGGCAUCAAAUUUUAAUUAAAGAUUUAUCGGUAAAAGAUGGCUAUGCGUCCUAUUAGCUAGAUGGUGAGGUAACGGCUCACCAUGGCAACGAUAGGUAGGGGUCCUGAGAGGGAGAUCCCCCACACUGGUACUGAGACACGGACCAGACUCCUACGGGAGGCAGCAGUGAGGAAUAUUGGGCAAUGGAGGCAACUCUGACCCAGCCAUGCCGCGUGCAGGAAUAAGGUCCUAUGGAUUGUAAACUGCUUUUAUA
rnacentral:rRNA from 1 species